rnacentral:antisense_RNA from 1 species
GAUGCAAGCAGUGAAGCUCGGUUGCAUCAUCUGCAGGGCUCAGAGCUGGCCGGAAAGGCUCAGCUUGUGAGGCCAGGCCGAAAACUCCGCUCAUUUGCCAGCACCGGGUCCGCGGGGCAUCCGGGGCUGUCCUUUCCCUAAUGCCACGUGAAAUGGGCGGUCACGAGGCCCUGGGGCGUCUGAUCGUCAGAAUGAGGACAGGCUCGCAGUUAACUCCACGCGCGCCCAGGGGUCUUGGGGAUUCCCCAGUUAGACGUCCGCUCCCUGAGGCCCCAGUCCAUGUGCAUGGAAAAGCCAAGAGAACCCCAGAGUUUGUGACUAGGAACUAAGGUAGGAGAAGAGCUUCCUUUCCAGAUUACCCAGCGUCUGGAGCCCCAUUCUUACCCGAGCCGCCCAGAACAAAGAGAAGUACAGCAUCGCAACUCGGAAGUCGCAGGAGGUCCAGCCACCAACUCUGGUCUAGGGCAGCAAGCUGUCGGAAGAAGACCGUUCGGCGAACGCAUGCGCGAGAAGAGCGCGCUGAGACGCCAAGGCCAACGGGAGGGAUCUACGCAUGCGUAGUGGUGGCCCCUUUGUGGCCUUUUGGGAAUUGUAGUUCUCCCACUCCCCGCUUUUUUCUCUACGAUUCCCGUCUGUAGCCCCAGGGUUAGAGGCCCUUGCCUGGGGGAAAAAAACAAAAAACAAAAACAGAGGUCCA